rnacentral:rRNA from 1 species
AUUGAACGCUGGCUGCAGGCCUAACACAUGCAAGUCGAGCGGAGCGGCGGACGGGUGAGUAAUGCCUAGGAAUCUGCCUGGUAGUGGGGGAUAACGUCCGGAAACGGGCGCUCAUAUCGCAUACUAUCAGAUGAGCCUAGGUCGGAUUAGCUAGUUGGGGGGGUAAAGGCCUACCAAGGGGACGAUCCGUAACUGGUCUGAGAGGAUGAUCAGUCACACUGGAACUGAGACACGGGCCAGACUCCGACGGGAGGCAGCAGUGGGGAAUAUUGGACAAUGGGCGAAAGCCUGAUCCAGCCAUGCCGCGUGUGUGAAGAAGGUCUUCGGAGUGUAAAGCACUUUAAGUUGGGAGGCGUUACCAACAGAAUAAGCACCGGCUAACGUCGUGCCAGCAGCCGCGGUAAUUC